GACGAACGCUGGCGGCGUGCUUAACACAUGCAAGUCGAACGGGGUACCCGAAAAUGAAGCUUCGGCAGAAUUUUCGGACUACCUAGUGGCGGACGGGUGAGUAACACGUGAGUAACCUGCCCUUGAGAGGGGAAUAACACACCGAAAGGUGUGCUAAUACCGCAUAACAUAUGUUUAUCGCAUGACAGACAUAUCAAAGAUUUAUCGCUCAAGGAUGGGCUCGCGGCUGAUUAGGUAGUUGGUGAGGUAAUGGCUCACCAAAGCCGACGAUCAGUAGCCGGACUGAGAGGGUGAUCGGCCACAUUGGAACUGAGAAACGGUCCAAAACUCCUACGGGAGGCAGCAGUGGGGAAUAUUGGGCAAUGGGGGAAACCCUGACCCAGCAACGCCGCGUGAAGGAAGAAGGCUUUCGGGUUGUAAAACGUUCUUUUAAUCAGGACGAAUAUUGACGGUACCUGAUGAAUAAGCCACGGCUAACUACGUG
rnacentral:rRNA from 1 species